rnacentral:rRNA from 1 species
CAAUAGCGUAUAUUAAAGUUGUUGCGGUUAAAAAGCUCGUAGUUGGAUUUCUGUUGAAGUCAGCCGGUGCACACUUCGUGUGUUAUUUGGCCUGGCUUUGGCAUCCUCUGGGGGAACGUUUCUGGCCUUAAUUGGACAGGGCGAGAUUCCAGACUUUUACUUUGAGGAAAUUAGAGUGUUCACAGCAGGCAAGUGCUUUGAAUACAUUAGCAUGGAAUAAUAAUAUAGGACCUUCGUUCUAUUUUGUUGGUUUCUUAGGACUUAGGUAAUGAUUAAUAGGGACAAUUAGGGGGCGAUUCGUAUUAACGACGUCAGAGGUGGAAGUUCUUGGAUUGCGUUACGACGAACUACUGCGAAAGACAUUUGUCCAAAGAUGUUUUCUAUUGAUCAAGAACGAAAGUAUGGGGAUCGAAGACGAUCAGAUACCAU